UACGUAGGGUGCAAGCGUUAAUCGGAAUUACUGGGCGUAAAGGGCCAGUAGGCGGCCAACUAAGUCCGACGUGAAAUCCCCAGGCUUAACUUGGGAACUGCAUCGGAUACUGGAUGGCUUGAAUUCGGGAGAGGGAUGCAGAAUUCCAGGUGUAGCGGUGAAAUGCGUAGAUAUCUGGAGGAAUACCGGUGGCGAAGGCGGCAUCCUGGACCGACAUUGACGCUGAACGGCGAAAGCUAGGGGAGCAAACGGG
rnacentral:rRNA from 1 species